AGCGAACGCUGGCGGCAGGCCUAAUACAUGCAAGUCGAACGGUGUAGCAAUACACAGUGGCGCACGGGUGCGUAACACGUAUGCAACCUACCUUACAUUGGGGGAUAGCCUUUCGAAAGGGAGAUUAAUACCGCAUAAGACAGUAACUAGGCAUCUAGUAGCUGUUAAAGAUUUAUCGAUGUAAGCUGGGCAUGCGUCCAAUUAGUUAGUUGGCGAGGUAAUGGCUCACCAAGACGAUGAUUGGUAGGGGAACUGAGAGGUCAAUCCCCCACACUGGCACUGAGAUACGGGCCAGACUCCUACGGGAGGCAGCAGUAGGGAAUAUUGGGCAAUGGGCGCAAGCCUGACCCAGCCAUGCCGCGUGCAGGAAGAAGGCGUUAUGCGUUGUAAACUGCUUUUAUACAGGAAGAAACGACCCUUGCGAGGGGCAUUGACGGUACUGUAUGAAUAAGCACCGGCUAACUCCGUGCCAGCAGCCGCGGUAACAC
rnacentral:rRNA from 1 species